GAUGAACGCUGGCGGCGUGCCUAAUACAUGCAAGUAGAACGCUGAAGGAGGAGCUUGCUCUUCUGGAUGAGUUGCGAACGGGUGAGUAACGCGUAGGUAACCUGCCUGGUAGCGGGGGAUAACUAUUGGAAACGAUAGCUAAUACCGCAUGACAACAGUUAUUGCAUGAUAACUGUUUAAAAGGGGCAACUGCUCCACUACCAGAUGGACCUGCGUUGUAUUAGCUAGUUGGUGAGGUAACGGCUCACCAAGGCGACGAUACAUAGCCGACCUGAGAGGGUGAUCGGCCACACUGGGACUGAGACACGGCCCAGACUCCUACGGGAGGCAGCAGUAGGGAAUCUUCGGCAAUGGACGGAAGUCUGACCGAGCAACGCCGCGUGAGUGAAGAAGGUUGUCGGAUCGUAAAGCUCGGUUGUAAGAGAAGAACGAGUGUGAGAGUGGAAAGUUCACACUGUGACGGUAUCUGACCAGAAAGAGACGGCUAACUACGUG
rnacentral:rRNA from 1 species